rnacentral:rRNA from 1 species
AAUAUUGGUCAAUGGAUGGAAGUCUGAACCAGCCAUGCCGCGUGCAGGAAGAAGGCCUUAUGGGUUGUAAACUGCUUUUGCCAGGGGAUAAGAUAGCUGUGCGCAGCGAAUUGCAGGUACCUGGUGAAUAAGCCACGGCUAACUACGUGCCAGCAGCCGCGGUAAUACGUAGGUGGCAAGCGUUGUCCGGAUUUAUUGGGUUUAAAGGGUGCGUAGGCGGCCCUGUAAGUCAGUGGUGAAAUACUCCAGCUUAACUGGAGGGGUGCCAUUGAUACUGCAGGGCUUGAGUGGAGUAGAAGUAGGCGGAAUUGACGGUGUAGCGGUGAAAUGCUUAGAUAUCGUCAAGAACACCGAUAGUGAAGACAGCUUACUAUGCUUCAACUGACGCUGAGGCACGAAAGUGUGGGGAUCAAACAGG